rnacentral:lncRNA from 1 species
CGUCAAUCCAGCUCGGUGGCGAUCAUUACAGGUCUGCAGUGAAGCAGAAAAACGCUGUAAUAAACAGGUCCCGCUGCCUCCGCUCACUCCAUCCAUCCUCCCCUACAAGUGCUCGGCCCUUCUGGCCUUGCUGAGAGUUAAAUCCCCGUCCAGCUGUUUGACCCUAUUACGGGAACAUGAUGGGCGCCCCUGUCAUUUGAAAUGCCUGCAACAGUCGGAUGCACCGAAUCUAUCUUCCCGACAGACCUCUGCCUCUUUCGAAAUGCAAAUGGAUGAGUCUCUGCAAAGCUUGCUGUGCGCGAUACGCAGACAGGGGUAGUGCCUGCUCUAUGUCAUUCCAAAUGAUAUGGGAACAACGGGAAGCGUCCUGGCUGUGGAUAAUUACAG